rnacentral:piRNA from 1 species
ACGACGAGCCGGGAACGCUGAGG